GAUGAACGCUAGCGAUAGGCCUAACACAUGCAAGUCGAGGGGCAUCACAUGAAGUAGCAAUACGGAUGGUGGCGACCGGCGCACGGGUGAGUAACACGUAUGCAACCUGCCUUCAACAAGGGGAUAACCCGUUGAAAGACGGACUAAUACCCUAUAACACAGGGGUCCCGCAUGGGAAUAUUUGUUAAAGGACAACCGGUUGAAGAUGGGCAUGCGUUCCAUUAGCUAGUUGGCGGGGUAACGGCCCACCAAGGCAACGAUGGAUAGGGGAACUGAGAGGUUUAUCCCCCACACUGGUACUGAGACACGGACCAGACUCCUACGGGAGGCAGCAGUGAGGAAUAUUGGUCAAUGGACGCAAGUCUGAACCAGCCACGUCGCGUGAAGGAAGACGGCCCUACGGGUUAAACUUCUUUUAACGGGAAUAAAGUGCCCCACGCGUGGGGUUUUGCAUGUACCGUAUGAAUAAGGAUCGGCUAACUCCGUGCCAG
rnacentral:rRNA from 1 species